rnacentral:rRNA from 1 species
AUUGAACGCUGGCGGCAGGCUUAACACAUGCAAGUCGAGCGGGGAUAGGGUGCUUGCACCUGAUUCCUAGCGGCGGACGGGUGAGUAAUGCUUAGGAAUCUGCCUAUUAGUGGGGGACAACGUUCCGAAAGGGACGCUAAUACCGCAUACGUCCUACGGGAGAAAGCAGGGGAUCUUCGGACCUUGCGCUAAUAGAUGAGCCUAAGUCGGAUUAGCUAGUUGGUGGGGUAAAGGCCUACCAAGGCGACGAUCUGUAGCGGGUCUGAGUGGAUGAUCCGCCACACUGGGACUGAGACACGGCCCAGACUCCUACGGGAGGCAGCAGUGGGGAAUAUUGGACAAUGGGGGGAACCCUGAUCCAGCCAUGCCGCGUGUGUGAAGAAGGCCUUUUGGUUGUAAAGCACUUUAAGCGAGGAGGAGGCUUACCUGGUUAAUACCUGGGAUAAGUGGACGUUACUCGCAGAAUAAGCACCGGCUAACUCUGUGCCAGCAGCCGCAGUAACAC